rnacentral:rRNA from 1 species
UACAGAGGAGCCAAGCGUUGUCCGGAUUGACUGGGCGUAAAGCGCACGCAGGCGGGGGUGCGCGUGGGGUGUGAAAUCUGGCCGCUUAACGGCCAGGCGCCAUCCCAUACGGCACGCCUGGAGCCUUGCAGAGGUCGGUGGAAUUGCCGGUGUAGUGGUGAAAUGCGUAGAGAUCGGCAGGAACACCCAGGGGGAAACCAGCCGACUGGGCAUCUGCUGACGCUGAGGUGCGAGAGCGUGGGGAGCGAACCGG